rnacentral:lncRNA from 10 species
GAACGCCCCACCCUGCUCACUGCCUGCCCCAUGCCGGGAGCUCUGGCCAGGUGGCCUUACUUGCCUACAGGUGUCUGUGGCUGCGAACCUGUCUGUUUGACCUGGUGGAGAAUGGAGCCUCCCAUUAAUCCCCAGAUGCUCCUGCCUACUGUCAAAACCUAGAAAGAGAGAGAAGACACUUACCAACAGUACUUUGAAGCCAGCAAGGCGCCACACUUUGCCCUUUGUAGCCAAGGACAGACCUGCGAGCUGGAGAGAGCAGGAGAGCCACGGAGUCUGGAGCUAGCCACCAAAACUGCUGAGAAGCGAAGGAGGACUGUGGAAGUCAAGGCGUGAGUGUCCUUCACACAGCCUGCAGAUCUCCUUUCACCACCUGCGUCCUGGAGGCUUCCUCCGCGUCCUCCUGGGGUUCUCCUGCCUUGGGAACCAAGCUCCUUCCCAAGCAGCGCAGCACCCCCGCCAGCCCCGCCCCACCCCGUAGGAAGCUCAGAGAAGGCGCAGAGACCUAAGGACUACAGGGUGGGCGAUCAUCCAAGCUCCACCAGUAAGGGCAAGGAGUACGCGGCUGGAGCAGGUUUCUAGCCCAGAAGGCAUUUAUUUCCCUGAAACGUUUGAAGACGCCGCUGCACAGGCUUCUGACCCUGCAGUGUCGCUGUGCGGGAGCUCAAGGUCAUUUCAGGGCCGGAGCAAGACUUUGGGGUUCUUCACCCCGCGUGUGCUGGGCCUCACUCAGUGGGUAGACUUUCCCCGAAUGCCCGCUUUCAGCCUGGGCCCUACCCUGAACCUCAGUCCUGUGACUGCUGCUCCCAGGACAGAGCAUUUCUGGUUCACUUUCUCCCGAAACCAAUGCCCUUAUCCUCUGCGGGAGUAGGCUUGGAAGACCAUGCCAGCGUCUAACUGUUCCCUGAAAGACGUCCAGCCAAUGUUCCUCUUCCCUCUCAUGCUGUCCCUCGGGGGUUUCGAGCCCCAGUUUCCCGGCCUGCUGGGCUCACACACUCCCUCGGCUUCCUAGAGAUUCGGCCUCCGGCUCCCUGCAGUCUCCGGGUCGGCCUCCACUCCCGGCUUCCUGGCCACACAACUCAGCGCUCGUUAUUGCAUCUGUGUUAUUUCCGCCUCUGCUCUUUAUGUGGAUGGACAGCAAAGGUGAAAUGGAGGAGGAAAGCCUGGGGAGGCAUGAGGAAGGCGGCUGGGCACCUGAGACCUUGGGCAGGGCCCAUUAGGGACCGUGGGCCAGAGCUCAGCUCAGCCAGGGCCCUCCUAGGUCUGCACAGCCCCAGGCCUCAUCACAGCCGUCAUGGUGCUGCUCCUGCCACACCGGUAAAGGUCCCACCGCAGGAGUGGAGAGAAGCGUCUCCCUCGCGUUUCUGGGUCCGAGACUGCCUUGGACUGGGGGAAGCUCCAUUUUGGGGUGGGACCAAGAGGCAAAGACCCCCUCAGGGGCAGCUGUGAACGUGUGGACAAGUUUCUGUGCCUGGGCAGCUAGAUAAGUCCAGCCUCCUGAUCCUUUUGUGGCUGCAGAGACUGUCCCUUGUCCCCUAGUAUCCACUCUUCCUUCUAGAACCAUCUGGGCUGCCCCAGAUACCCUGUGAAAGACUUCGCUCCCCAGCCUCCAUGUAGCUAAGGGACCAUGUGUGACUCAGUGGCCCAGGACAGCAGCAGAAGUGGCCCGAGAAGCUUCCGGCUGGGGUAUGUAUAGGGUGGCGCCUCUUGCCCCUUGCUCUACUGGUGUGCAGGGCACACGGACAUGAGCCAGGACCCAGGAGGCUGCUGGACGGCUCAGGCUGGGGAGGAGCCAUCCCUCUCUGACUCCUUUCACCUGCUGAUGUGUACCGGGGUGAGGCUUACCUGGAUGAACACCGUGAAUGAAUAGUAGGAACAGCAAUGGGGUAAGCCCCGCCUUGGGGCAUCGCAGCACCACGAAUGCGGCUUGGCACUAACACACAUGACCUUGGCUAAGCUUCACGACAGUCCUAUAAGAGGAGGGCUGUC